rnacentral:lncRNA from 1 species
UGAAAUUCUUUAACCAAGGCCCUUUUUAUACCUGUUAAUAAUAUCCUUUCAGAAGUCACUAUAAUUAAUGGAACUUUACCUGAUUUUGAUCCUGUUGCUGUUGCUGCUGGUAGAGGCUUGAACCCAAGACCUCCUGAACCAAUUUGUUGCUUUGAUACCAUAUAAAUAUUAAUUUAAGAAGAAGAAAGAAUAACACUGGGUAAACGUGGAAAACCCUAGUUUAGGGACAAAAGACCAUGAUAUGAGUCCUUGGUAUAUUUUUCUUACGAUCAAAAGAAUACAAGGGCCUUGACACAAAAGGAAAUAAACAAGGGUAUGAAGAUUGUUGAUUUUAUGGAAUAAAUCUAUAUUUCAUUCAUUAUUUAGUAGAGAUACAAGCCUAUAUAUAACCAUAGAGAAAUACACUUAAGGAAAUAAUAUCAAAUAAUAUCUCUAGAAUUAUAUCUCCUAAUAAUAAUCUAAUUAUAUUAAUAAAGAUUACACAAUUACCCCUGGUUCAAUUAUUUUCAACAAAACCCUCAGGUUAUUUUACAGGAUUGAAAGCCCUUUCAUUUGUGGUCCUCUUUUUGUGGACUGUUUUAUUUAUGACUAUUAUUUCAUACUUUUUUCUCAAUGGUUGUUUCUUACGUAUGAAAAAAAGUGCAUGUAGGUUUAAGAAGGAGCUAAUUCAGAGUAUUGCAUAUUGCUGCUUCACUUGAUUUAAGCACAAUUAUCUGCAGGCAUGUUGAUUUUGAUCGAUGAACGUGCAGCUUUGAAUUUCAAAGCAUGAAGCUUCUUUCUUCUCUGAUUGACUCUUAUGAUUUUCAUUUGUUGGACUUUAAAUUCUUGACAUGAUUUUGACUUGUAGUGGAUUGGUUGUUUCAAUUACAG